GGCUCCAUAGUGUAGUGGUUAGCGCAUCUGCUUUACAUGCAGAAGGUUCUGGGUUCGCGCCCCAGAUGGAGCCA
rfam:Pteropus alecto contig102714, whole genome shotgun sequence.